CCUUUAUAAUUACAACAGGUACCUCUGGACAAGAUCAAGCAGACAUGACAAAUGCCUCUGACUUCUUUUUAAAUUGAACCUGGAAGGUCAUCACUGAACAAACAAAAUGCUAUACAACCAGGGCCAUAAAUUAUGAGAACUAACGAAAAGGUUAUAGGAGAAUGCUCUUCAGCCCCCCAUGAAAUCAUCUCUUCUCCCAGCUGGACAAGCACCAGUUCCUUCAGCCUCUUCUUGGAGGGCAAGGAACCUCUACUUCUGGGAGCACAGCUGAAACAUCUGGUAUACUUCCUGUUCCUGCCUUUGUAAAAAUAUGCUGAAUUAUCAGUAUGAAUUCAAAGAAGGGAAGAUGGAGAAAUGGAAAAAUUCAGAGUAACUUCAAAUGUUUGCUUAGAAAUACUAUCAUUGGUCAGUAUUAAUGUUAACACUUCCUAAGGACUCUGUGUUUAAUAUGUGUGCCAAU